UACAGAGGGUGCGAGCGUUGUCCGGAAUCAUUGGGCGUAAAGCGCGUGUAGGCGGCUCGGUAAGUCCGCUCUGAAAGUCCAGGGCUCAACCCUGGGAUGCGGGUGGAUACUGCCGGGCUCGAGUCCGGAAGAGGCGAGUGGAAUCCCGGUGUAGCGGUGAAUGCGCAGAUAUCGAGAGGAACACCGGUGGCGAAGGCGGCCUUCUGGACAGUGACUGACGCUGAGACGCGAAAGCGUGGGGAGCAAACAGG
rnacentral:rRNA from 1 species